rnacentral:lncRNA from 1 species
UUCCUCACGUAUCUAUGUACAGACCUCACGCAUACACCAUAUAUUCCUCACACAUCUACAUACAGACCUCACGCAUACACCAUGUAUUCCUCACGGAUCUACAUACAAACCUCAUACAAACCUCACACAUACCUCACGCAUACUCCAUAUAUUCCUCACGCAGCAACAUACAAACCUCACACUUACACCAUAUAUUCCUCACGCAUCUACAUACAAACCUCACGCAUACACCAUAUAUUCCUCACGGAUCUACAUACAAACCACAUACAAACCUCACACAUACCUCACACAUACUCCAUAUAUUCCUCACGCAGCAACAUACAAACCUCACACUUACACCAUAUAUUCCUCACGCAUCUACAUACAAACCUCACGCAUACACCACAUAUUCCUCACACCUAUACAUACAAACCUCACGUAUAAACCAUAUAUUCCUCACGCAGCUACAUACAAGCCUCAUACUUACACCAUAUAUUCCUCACGUAUCUAUGUACAAACCUCACGCAUACACCAUAUAUUCCUCACGCGUCUACAUACAAACCUCACACUUACACCAUAUAUUCCUCACGCAUCUACAUACAAACCUCACGCAUACACCACAUAUUCCUCACACCUAUACAUACACACCUCACGUAUAAACCAUAUAUUCCUCACGCAGCUACAUACAAACCUCACACUUACACCAUAUAUUCCUCAUGCAUCUACAUACAGACCUCAUACUUACACCAUAUAUUCCUCACGUAUCUAUGUACAAACCUCACGCAUACACCAUAUAUUCCUCACACCUAUACAUACACACCUCACGCAUACACCACAUAUUCCUCACACCUAUACAUACACACCUCACGUAUAAACCAUAUAUUCCUCACGCAGCUACAUACAAACCUCACACUUACACCAUAUAUUCCUCAUGCAUCUACAUACAGACCUCAUACUUACACCAUAUAUUCCUCACGUAUCUAUGUACAAACCUCACGCAUACACCAUAUAUUCCUCACACCUAUACAUACACACCUCACGUAUAAACCAUAUAUUCCUCACACAUCUACAUACAGAACUCACGCAUACACCAAAUAUUCCUCAUGCAUCUACAUACAGACCUCAUACUUACACCAUAUAUUCCUCACGUAUCUAUGUACAAACCUCACGCAUACACCAUAUAUUCCUCACACCUAUACA